UUGUGACUUUGAGACUAAUAGUUGUGGAUGGCGUAAUGAUAAGGGGAAUGGAUAUUUAUUUUGGAAGCGUUCAAGUGGAUUAGUACCAUCCGAACACACCGGCAAAUGGAACCAAGAUACUAGUUGGUAUCUGCAAAUAAAGUCAGACAGUUCUUCAAGCAGCACGCAGGUAGGGGCUUUAGCCUCCCCCGAAGUUCCGCCUACAAAGGACAAUGGGGCAUGCCUCAGUUUCAUCUAUUUCAUCCAAGGCGACGACGAGGACGCCCUCUCCGCCCGACUAUCAACAGACGUGGAUGAGGAGCUAUGGAGAAUCACGGGUUCCCAUGGCAACGCAUGGGAGAAGAAAUCAUUAUGGAUACCACCGACUUUCCUCCAAAGUCACAUCGUGUUUGUUGGUGAGCUGCACGGCCCUUUUUCAUCAAUAGCAUUAGAUGACGUCACAAUUGAAGUCGGGUACUGUGAUUUUGAAU